rnacentral:rRNA from 1 species
CGCAUCUGUGCAUGCAGCAUAUCAAUAAGCGGAGGAAAAGAAACUAACAAGGAUUCCCCUAGUAACGGCGAGUGAAGCGGGAAGAGCUCAAAUUUGAAAUCUUAAAGGGUUUCCCUUUACGAAUUGUAGUUUAAAGAAGUGUUUUCUGUUGAGGUUUUGGUAAAAGUUCUUUGGAAUAGGACAUCAUAGAGGGUGAGAAUCCCGUAUUUGACCUUUACUUUCAACUUUGUGAUACACUUUCAAAGAGUCGGAUUGUUUGGGAAUGCAGUCCAAAAUGGGUGGUAAAUUUCAUCUAAAGCUAAAUAUUGGCGAGAGACCGAUAGCGAACAAGUACCGUGAGGGAAAGAUGAAAAGAACUUUGAAAAGAGAGUUAAACAGUACGUGAAAUUGUCAAAAGGGAAGCGUUUGACACCAGUGUUGUUUUUCUGAAAAUCAAUUAAAGAACUGUUUAUGCUAAGUUGUUUAGACUUUAUCAGCUAACUGUUUAGUUUUGAGCUUUUCUUUAAUGCACUUUUCAGUUAACAAGUCAACAUCAAUUUCUUUUGCUGUAAAAAAGCUUGAGGAAGGUGGCUUGAGAUUCGUCUUAAGUGUUUAUAGCCUCUUGCCUAUGCAGUCGGAGAGAUUGAGGUCUGCAGCGUAGAUCCUUCGGGGCUAAAUGCAUUUGUGCUAAGUUAUAACAUUUUAUAGACAACUUGUUGACUAUGAUUUGUCUUGUAGCUUACUCGCUUAUGUUAUUUUACCUACGCUUAGGAUGUUGACUGAUAUGUAGUCGU